CGCUGGCGGUGGGCGGCGCGAUCGACCGCUACGGCUGGUCGGCGGCCUCGCUGAUCGUGGCGGCGGCCGGCUU
rnacentral:tRNA from 1 species